rnacentral:rRNA from 1 species
GGUUAAGUGACUAAGCGUACACGGUGGAUGCCUAGGCAGUCAGAGGCGAUGAAGGACGUGCUAAUCUGCGAUAAGCGUCGGUGAGCUGAUAUGAAGCAUUAUUAGCCGGCGAUGUCCGAAUGGGGAAACCCAGUGCAAUCCGUUGCACUAUCGUUAAGUGAAUCCAUAGCUUAACGAGGCGAACCAGGGGAACUGAAACAUCUAAGUACCCUGAGGAAAAGAAAUCAACCGAGAUUCCCCCAGUAGCGGCGAGCGAACGGGGAAGAGCCCAGAACCUGAAUCAGUUUGUGCAUUAGUGGAAGCGUCUGGAAAGUCGCGCGAUACAGGGUGAUAGCCCCGUACACGAAGGUGCACAGCUGUGAGUUCGAUGAGUAGGGCGGGACACGUGUUAUCCUGUCUGAAUAUGGGGGGACCAUCCUCCAAGGCUAAAUACUCCUGACUGACCGAUAGUGAACCAGUACCGUGAGGGAAAGGCGAAAAGAACCCCGGCGAGGGGAGUGAAAUAGAACCUGAAACCGUGUACGUACAAGCAGUGGGAGCAUCCUUUUGGGUGUGACUGCGUACCUUUUGUAUAAUGGGUCAGCGACUUAUAUUUUGUAGCAAGGUUAACCGAAUAGGGGAGCCGUAGGGAAACCGAGUCUUAACUGGGCGUCUAGUUGCAAGGUAUAGACCCGAAACCCGGUGAUCUAGCCAUGGGCAGGUUGAAGGUUGGGUAACACUAACUGGAGGACCGAACCGACUAAUGUUGAAAAAUUAGCGGAUGACUUGUGGCUGGGGGUGAAAGGCCAAUCAAACCGGGAGAUAGCUGGUUCUCCCCGAAAGCUAUUUAGGUAGCGCCUCGUGAACUCAUCUUCGGGGGUAGAGCACUGUUUCGGCUAGGGGGUCAUCCCGACUUACCAACCCGAUGCAAACUACGAAUACCGAAGAAUGUUAUCACGGGAGACACACGGCGGGUGCUAACGUCCGUCGUGAAGAGGGAAACAACCCAGACCGCCAGCUAAGGUCCCAAAGUCAUGGUUAAGUGGGAAACGAUGUGGGAAGGCACAGACAGCCAGGAUGUUGGCUUAGAAGCAGCCAUCAUUUAAAGAAAGCGUAAUAGCUCACUGGUCGAGUCGGCCUGCGCGGAAGAUGUAACGGGGCUAAACCAUGCACCGAAGCUGCGGCAGCGACGCUUAGGCGUUGUUGGGUAGGGGAGCGUUCUGUAAGCCGUUGAAGGUGGCCUGUGAGGGCUGCUGGAGGUAUCAGAAGUGCGAAUGCUGACAUAAGUAACGAUAAAGCGGGUGAAAAGCCCGCUCGCCGGAAGACCAAGGGUUCCUGUCCAACGUUAAUCGGGGCAGGGUAAGUCGACCCCUAAGGCGAGGCCGAAAGGCGUAGUCGAUGGGAAACAGGUUAAUAUUCCUGUACUUGGUGUUAUUGCGAAGGGGGGACGGAGAAGGCUAGACCGGCCGGGCGACGGUUGUCCCGGUUUAAGCGUGUAGGUGUGAUGACCUGGCAAAUCCGGUUAUCUUUAACACUGAGGCGUGAUGACGAGGCACUACGGUGCUGAAGUGGUUAAUGCCCUGCUUCCAGGAAAAGCCUCUAAGCUCCAGAUAACACUGAAUCGUACCCCAAACCGACACAGGUGGUCAGGUAGAGAAUACCAAGGCGCUUGAGAGAACUCGGGUGAAGGAACUAGGCAAAAUGGUGCCGUAACUUCGGGAGAAGGCACGCUGGCAUGUAGGUGAAGUCCCUCGCGGAUGGAGCCGAAGCCAGUCGAAGAUACCAGCUGGCUGCAACUGUUUAAUAAAAACACAGCACUCUGCAAACACGAAAGUGGACGUAUAGGGUGUGACGCCUGCCCGGUGCUGGAAGGUUAAUUGAUGGGGUCAGCCGCAAGGCGAAGCUCUUGAUCGAAGCCCCAGUAAACGGCGGCCGUAACUAUAACGGUCCUAAGGUAGCGAAAUUCCUUGUCGGGUAAGUUCCGACCUGCACGAAUGGCGUAAUGAUGGCCAGGCUGUCUCCACCCAAGACUCAGUGAAAUUGAACUCGCUGUGAAGAUGCAGUGUACCCGCGGCAAGACGGAAAGACCCCGUGAACCUUUACUAUAGCUUGACACUGAACAUUGAACCUUGAUGUGUAGGAUAGGUGGGAGGCUUUGAAGUGUGGACGCCAGUCUGCAUGGAGCCGACCUUGAAAUACCACCCUUUAAUGUUUGAUGUUCUAACCUGGUCCCGUGAUCCGGGAUAGGGACAGUGUCUGGUGGGUAGUUUGACUGGGGCGGUCUCCUCCCAAAGAGUAACGGAGGAGCACGAAGGUUAGCUAAUCCUGGUCGGACAUCAGGAGGUUAGUGCAAAGGCAUAAGCUAGCUUGACUGCGAGAGUGACGGCUCGAGCAGGUGCGAAAGCAGGUCUUAGUGAUCCGGUGGUUCUGAAUGGAAGGGCCAUCGCUCAACGGAUAAAAGGUACUCCGGGGAUAACAGGCUGAUACCGCCCAAGAGUUCAUAUCGACGGCGGUGUUUGGCACCUCGAUGUCGGCUCAUCACAUCCUGGGGCUGAAGUAGGUCCCAAGGGUAUGGCUGUUCGCCAUUUAAAGUGGUACGCGAGCUGGGUUUAGAACGUCGUGAGACAGUUCGGUCCCUAUCUGCCGUGGGCGUUGGAAGAUUGAGAGGGGCUGCUCCUAGUACGAGAGGACCGGAGUGGACGCACCGCUGGUGUUCGGGUUGUGAUGCCAAUUGCAUUGCCCGGUAGCUACGUGCGGAAAAGAUAAGCGCUGAAAGCAUCUAAGCGCGAAACUUGCCUCGAGAUGAGUCUUCCCUUGGACCUUGAGUCCACUGAAGGAACGUUUAAGACUAAGACGUUGAUAGGCUGGGUGUGUAAGCGUAGCGAUACGUUGAGCUAACCAGUACUAAUGAUCCGAGAGGCUUAACCUU